CACCUGAGGGAGAGAAAAGCAGUAGUAGCACUGUGGAAACUGGAGAGACAGAGGAGACUACUCAGGAAGAGACCAUCGUUCAGCAGGGGAGUAUAGGAAAAUUUAAACACAGGAACAUCAACUGAGAUGGAAAGUUUUUCCUUUCCCAGAAUUGUUUCUAUGGAAUAAAGUUCACGUUGAACCGUAACUCCUGCCCUAAAAGUCAGCUUUCCUGAAUUAGAAUAUACUUUCAAAUAAGUGUGCAAGACAUUGUCUUCUGUCAUCAAGAGGAAACUAGAAGGAAAGCACUGACAAUCACACUGUGAGCAAUUCUUCAGAGAACACUGAUGACCAAAAAACUGGAGGAAUUGUGGGGAAAAAAAAGGUUUAGGAUCCAGAGGCUCCUGCAGAGGCUGCUGAGUUUCCUGUUGAACAAAGACCCUAAGAUCCAGUUAACUUUGAGCACGUGUGUAGUCUCACUGAGCACAAGCCCUGUCAUUAAUGGCAGUACACACGUUUAUCAGCAAGCACUUACUGCUCUGGGGCUUUAUUUUUGGACCUUGCCUCAGGCUCUAAUCUGAAAGAAACCCAAAUUAAAUGCACCACUUGUAGCAUUUUGCACAAAUUGUACAGUGUCUAAUUUGACAAAAUGCAGUCACUUUAACAUUUCUGAUUCUGAUGUGCUAUUUUUCCACAUUUCAAAUAUUGCAAAUGUUUCUCAUUAAUAUUUUUAGUCAUUUUGUUUAGAAAAAAAAUAUUUAUUUCACCAAGGAGAAAUUUGCCGACCUCAUUGACCUUGGUACAUACAAAGGGGUUUGUGGGUUUUUUAUCUUGAAUUUCACUGCUAACUGUUUCAGUCAUAUAAUUUACCUGUUUUUUUCA